rnacentral:rRNA from 1 species
GACGAACGCUGGCGGCGUGCUUAACACAUGCAAGUCGAACGGAAAGGUCCUGCUUUUGUGGCGUGCUCGAGUGGCGAACGCGUGAGUAACACGUGAGUAACCUGCCCUUGACUUUGUGAUAACAUCUGGAAACUGGGGCUAAUACCGGAUAGGAGCUCCUGCUGCAUGGUGGGGGUUGGAAAGUUUCGGCGGUUGGGGAUGGACUCGCAGGUUAUCCGCUUGUUGGUGGGGUAGUGGCUUACCAAGGCUUUGACGGGUAGCCGGCCUGAGAGGGUGACCGGGCACAUGAGGACUAAGAGACGGCGCAGAAGCCUACGGGCGGCAGCAGGGGAGAAUAUUGCACAAUGGGCGGAAGCCUGAUGCAGCAACGCCGCGUGCGGGAUGACGGCCUACGGGUUGUGAACCACUUUCGCCGGUGACGAAGAGUGAGUGACGGUAAUGGGUAAAGAAGCACCGGCUAACUACGUG